rnacentral:lncRNA from 1 species
CUGCUGGCACCGCCCGCCACCGCCAGCACCCUGCCCCCUCCCCCGCCCGCGCGGACUUCCUCCUCCGCAAGCUGUCAACAAAGGAGAAGCAGGUGAGAGGUUUCGGGAUUCUGGAUGACAAUGUCUCGGUGCCCUCAAGGCCACUGAUUCCUCGCCACACAGUCUCAGUAACUCCGCAGCCUCUAGACACGGCUUUCCGGAAGCGGCCUGCAAGCUGGACCCCAGCGAGUUCGCAGGAUCUGCGUAGUCCCUGCUCGCGAUUAGAGCGCACACGAGUUUACUCCUGUCCAAGUAUUCUGAUAAGCUUCCUCUACUGCCCUCUCGUGGCCACAGUCCUCAGUGGUAUAAAUCUAAAAAACAACAAAAAUCACUGCGAAUACCUAAAAGCAAUUGCACCAAAUUCUUAGAGCAGUAGCGGCAGAAGAAACGAAGGGAGGGAAGGAUGAAGAAAGGGAGCCGGAGAAAAGAGAGAGAGAGAGGAAGAAGAAAAGGAAAUCUAGACUAACCAGUCAUCUCGAACAAUCGCACAUUCAACACAGGACUGGGGGAUCUAGGCUUUACUCCAACAUCUGCAGAAAUCAGCGAAUUCUUCAAAAGUUCUUCAUUGUAAUUAGCUGAAAUUUGUGUUCCUGUAACUUUCACUGGCUACUGCUAGUUUUGUCCUGUGGGACCACAAAGAAUCUGUCUAAGCUGUGUUGCCUGAUCCAUACCUGUUCUUUCCUUCAAACUUCUUUAGCAUUCAUUGUUGGUAACACACCAAUAAAUUAUCAUAUUUACCCUGUGU